AUUGAACGCUGGCGGCAGGCCUAACACAUGCAAGUCGAACGGUAACAGGAAGAAGCUUGCUUCUUUGCUGACGAGUGGCGGACGGGUGAGUAAUGUCUGGGAAACUGCCUGAUGGAGGGGGAUAACUACUGGAAACGGUAGCUAAUACCGCAUAACGUCGCAAGACCAAAGAGGGGGACCUUCGGGCCUCUUGCCAUCGGAUGUGCCCAGAUGGGAUUAGCUAGUAGGUGGGGUAACGGCUCACCUAGGCGACGAUCCCUAGCUGGUCUGAGAGGAUGACCAGCCACACUGGAACUGAGACACGGUCCAGACUCCUACGGGAGGCAGCAGUGGGGAAUAUUGCACAAUGGGCGCAAGCCUGAUGCAGCCAUGCCGCGUGUAUGAAGAAGGCCUUCGGGUUGUAAAGUACUUUCAGCGGGGAGGAAGGGAGUAAAGUUAAUACCUUUGCUUAUUGACGUUACCCGAAGAAGAAGCACCGGCUAACUCCGUG
rnacentral:rRNA from 1 species